UGUGGGAGCGAGCCUGCUCGCGAUGAGGCGUGUCAGUCGAGUCAUUGUUGACUGAUCCAGCGCUAUCGCGAGCAGGCUCGCUCCCACA
rnacentral:misc_RNA from 1 species